rnacentral:rRNA from 1 species
ACGGUAUCAACAGAAGAAGCACCGGCUAACUACGUGCCAGCAGCCGCGGUAAUACGUAGGGUGCGAGCGUUAAUCGGAAUUACUGGGCGUAAAGGGUGCGCAGGCGGUUCCGAAAGUCAGAUGUGAAAUCCCUGGGCUUAACCUAGGAAUUGCGUUUGAAACUACAGGACUAGAGUGUGACAGAGGGGGGUGGAAUUCCAUGUGUAGCAGUGAAAUGCGUAGAGAUAUGGAAGAACAUCGAUGGCGAAGGCAACCCCCUGGGUUAACACUGACGCUCAGGCACGAAAGCGUGGGGAGCAAACAGGAUUAGAUACCCUGGUAGUCCACGCCCUAAACUAUGUCAACUAGUUGUCGGAUCUUAAUAGGUUUGGUAACGUAGCUAACGCGUGAAGUUGACCGCCUGGGGAGUACGGUCGCAAGAUUAAAACUCAAAGGAAUUGACGGGGACCCGCACAAGCGGUGGAUUAUGUGGAUUAAUUCGAUGCAACGCGAAAAACCUUACCUACCCUUGACAUGUCAAAAAGUCCCUAGAAAUAGGGGUGUGCCUGAAAA